UAAUACAGAGGGUGCGAGCGUUAAUCGGAAUUACUGGGCGUAAAGGGCGCGUAGGCGGUGAGGUGAGUGUGAUGUGAAAGCCCUGGGCUUAACCUAGGAAGUGCAUCGCAAACGAUCUGACUGGAGUAUAAGAGAGGGUGGCGGAAUUUCCGGUGUAGCGGUGAAAUGCGUAGAGAUCGGAAGGAACGUCGAUGGCGAAGGCAGCCACCUGGCUUAAUACUGACGCUGAGGCGCGAAAGCGUGGGGAGCGAACAGGAUUAGAUACCCUGGUAGUCCACGCUGUAAACGAUGAGGACUAGAUGUUGGAUGGGGAACCAUUCAGUAUUGAAGCUAACGCGAUAAGUCUUCCGCCUGGGAAGUACGGCCGCAAGGUUG
rnacentral:rRNA from 1 species